rnacentral:rRNA from 1 species
GAUCCUGGCUCAUGAUGAACGCUAGCGGCAGGCCUAACACAUGCAAGUCGAGGGGUAAGGCUUCUUCGGAGAGCACACGACCGGCGCACGGGUGAGUAACGCGUAUGUAACCUUCCUCUUUCAGGAAGAUAGCGCCCGGAAACGGGAAUUAAUAUUCCAUAGUCCAUAAUAAUCACAUGAUUAGUAUGGUAAAGUUCCGACGGAAAGAGAUGGACAUGCGUGUCAUUAGUUAGUUGGUGAGGUAACGGCUCACCAAGACGACGAUGACUAGGGGUUCUGAAAGGAUGAUCCCCCACACUGGUACUGAGACACGGACCAGACUCCUACGGGAGGCAGCAGUGAGGAAUAUUGCGCAAUGGAGGCAACUCUGACGCAGCCAUGCCGCGUGCAGGAGGACGGCCCUACGGGUUGUAAACUGCUUUUCUUAACUAAGAACCGUGGAUAAUCUUAUCCACCUGACUGGUUUUGGAAUAAGCAUCGGCUAACUCCGUGCCAGCAGCCGCGGUAAUACGGAGGAUGCAAGCGUUAUCCGGAUUCACUAGGUUUAAAGGGUGCGUAGGCGGAAUAAUAAGUCAGCGGUGAAAUCUUGCGGCUCAACCGUAAAAUUGCCAUUGAUACUGUUAUUCUUGAGUAUGGUUGAGGUAGGCGGAAUGAGUAAUGUAGCGGUGAAAUGCUUAGAUAUUACUCAGAACACCGAUUGCGUAGGCAGCUUACCAAGCCAUCACUGACGCUGAGGCACGAAAGCGUGGGUAGCAAACAGGAUUAGAUACCCUGGUAGUCCACGCCGUAAACGUUGAUUACUCGUUGUUGGCAAUACACCGUCAGCGACUGAGCAAAAGCAUUAAGUAAUCCACCUGGGGAGUACGUCAGCAAUGAUGAAACUCAAAGGAAUUGACGGGGGCCCGCACAAGCGGAGGAACAUGUGGUUUAAUUCGAUGAUACGCGAGGAACCUUACCUGGGCUUAAAUGUUUAGUGAUCGACCGGGAGACCGGUUUUUCCUUCGGGACACUUUACAAGGUGCUGCAUGGUUGUCGUCAGCUCGUGCCGUGAGGUGUCGGGUUAAGUCCCAUAACGAGCGCAACCCCUAUCGCCAGUUGCCAGCACAUAAUGGUGGGAACUCUGGUGAAACUGCCGGUGCAAACCGUGAGGAAGGUGGAGAUGACGUCAAAUCAGCACGGCCCUUAUGUCCAGGGCUACACACGUGUUACAAUGGUCGGUACAACAGGAUGCCAAUCCGCAAGGAUGAGCUAAUCCCAAAAGCCGAUCUUAGUUCGGAUCGGAGUCUGCAAUUCGACUCCGUGAAGUUGGAUUCGCUAGUAAUCGCAGAUCAGCCAUGCUGCGGUGAAUACGUUCCCGGGCAUUGUACACACCGCCCGUCAAGCCAUGGAAGCCGGGGGUGCCUGAAGUCCGUAACCGUAAGGAGCGGCCCUAGGGUAAAACCGGUAACUGGGGCUAAGUCGU